GCCGUUUUGACUUCUGAAUUCGUGACUCAUUGUUCUUCUUCUGUGGUAACUUAAUUGAGUCCUCAUUCAUCCCCGUCUCUGAUUUUUGGAAGCCAUUGACUCUCUGCGGGGACUGAAACAGAUGAAGGAUGAAGACCAGCUGAAAAGGAUUGGUACAAAGCCGCUCCCACUUCAGGUAGAUGCCUCCCACGGGCACCUGCAUAUCCAAGGUGGUCUGGCUGCUGCCGGCUCGCCGGAGGAUGCCUCGGCUGCCGAAGUAAUCUGUCAGAGUGGCCGCUCAGAUGAUCCCCCUUCACAUCCCACCCAGUAAUCUAAAAUCCGCUUCUUGCAUAUUAGUAAAAACAGAACUGAUUUAUCUGGUUAGAACUACAGUCUUAAUAAUUCAGACAUUCGAAUUUUGAUUGAGAUUGGACAUUUCAAAGGAAAAUGAAAGUGCUAGCCGCUUGAAUUCGACAUCAAUUGAGAAAUUGGUGAAUUAAAUAUCCCUCAAGAUACUCGUAGGCAUUCAUAUUGUCACCAUCUAAAGUUAGAGAAUCCAAAUGAGGGCAAUGCCUUACUCUGAUAUGAUGUCUCGACCACUCUGCGUCUGGAGAUGAAACCCUGGAGAUGAAACCCUUCUUUCUACCCUUACAAAUUUGGGAAAUCAAUCAACUUGUCAUCUUGUAGCGGCUGAAUGCACCAAGGUGUGCCACUGCCUAUAGAUAGUAACAUGCUAACCUAGGGUUAUGUUGUGCAGGUGAGCUGAGUCUUGGUGCACCCAUGGUUCAUUGAGGUGUCCUUGGGCGCAUUGCUGAGGCGGACGACCAUCUUGUCGGCGCCCUCAGAUUCCAUCAGUUCUUCGAGGCCUCGGAGGUUGCAUUGUUCAGGGAGAACCUAUAUGCACGUCCUAUUCUCUUUAUGGCAUCUACAAUUUUGAUCCCUAUUACAAAUUCGACCAUCUAAUCAGAAUUGUUAUGUAUGGCCUUGUCACGUGGGAACUGCUCGCCAUAAGCUAGGACAUGUGCCAAAACGUUCAGAAGUAUGGCUUCAAUGGCUUAGGAGGGUCCGACAGGAUUACCACCGCUGACAUUCAGUCAAGUGAAAUACGAACUACCAGAGAGGUAUCCUAAGCCAUCCUCGAUGUUAUGUUCAUACCGCCAUUCAUUCUCAAAUCAGAGUAAUUAUCCAGAAAAAAAAAUUCAGGAGCUGGUGGUGUACAGGACUUGCCCUUCCACCUCACCUUUCAGCUUGGUCCAAUCAAGUUCUUGCUGAUCCGAUCAAAAUACUGUGAACUGUUCAUUUAGUUUUAACUGUAAACUUGGCCUGAUUGGCGUGUGUGAUUGUUCUGAUGAUAAUCGCCAAAGAUUUUUGUUGUGCAUAUGUCGAGAUACAUGUAUAAGAGUCAUCCGGUCCAGACCAUAGUGCCCCAACCUAAUGCAAUAUCACUGAAGUUUUGAAGGUACAAA